UUAACUGCAGUGCCAUAAACAAGAUCAUGAUAAGGCAAAAAAGUAAGAAAUGAUUCAACUCAAAGCACCAGAAUAUGUAGAAGAUUCAAUAAAAGAAUAAGUAAAUGGGAACAUGGAUAUGAAAAGAUGUCUUGUACAUUUCCUACAGCCUGUUUACAGAACUUUCUUCAAGAUGCCCAAGAAAUCUACCAUGUGUUCAAAUCUCAAAAUUGGUGGCUGUCAAUCUCAACUCUUGAUCAUGAUUAGGACAGCUGAAGAAAAGAUCCUUAAA